UACAGAGGUCCCAAGCGUUGUUCGGAUUCACUGGGCGUAAAGCGUGCGUAGGCGGUCCGCAAAGUCUGAUGUGAAAGCCCCGGGCUCAACCUGGGAACUGCAUUGGAAACUAACGGGCUCGAGUGUGGCAGAGGGGGGUGGAAUUCCACGUGUAGCAGUGAAAUGCGUAGAGAUGUGGAGGAACACCGAUGGCGAAGGCAGCCCCCUGGGCUAACACUGACGCUCAGGCACGAAAGCGUGGGGAGCAAACAGG
rnacentral:rRNA from 1 species